rnacentral:rRNA from 1 species
CCAGACUCCUACGGGAGGCAGCAGUGGGGAAUAUUGCACAAUGGGGGAAACCCUGAUGCAGCGACGCCGCGUGAGCGAUGAAGUAUUUCGGUAUGUAAAGCUCUAUCAGCAGGGAAGAAAAUGACGGUACCUGACUAAGAAGCCCCGGCUAACUACGUGCCAGCAGCCGCGGUAAUACGUAGGGGGCAAGCGUUAUCCGGAUUUACUGGGUGUAAAGGGAGCGUAGACGGCUGUGCAAGCCAGAUGUGAAAGCCCGGGGCUCAACCCCGGGACUGCAUUUGGAACUGCGCGGCUGGAGUGCAGGAGGGGCAGGCGGAAUUCCUGGUGUAGCGGUGAAAUGCGUAGAUAUCAGGAGGAACACCGGUGGCGAAGGCGGCCUGCUGGACUGCGACUGACGUUGAGGCCCGAAAGCGUGGGGAGCAAACAGGAUUAGAUACCCGCGUA